CCUCCAUUUAAAGGACCAACAGGAGGAAGAGGAGACAGCAAAGAGCUUGUUCCUUUGAAAGCGUGGCACCUGGAGACCACUACAAGACUCCAUCCAGCGGAAGAAGGCAGGAGCCCAUCUCCCCUGGCCAUAGACACCCUCCCUCAACAGAUCCUUUACAUGGUCCACAGAAGACUGGCCAUUAAGCAGUGGCUGGAGGUAAAAGACAGCAUCAUUUCGAUGGUUUAUGGACAUGAAGACACCAUGAUUAACAUUUCCAGCACCUAGGUAGAGACCGAAGUAUUUGCACGUUAGGUGAGGCUUCCUGGAGGAGUUGGGUCUUGAACUGAGCACUGAAAGAAAGGAAGCUGACUAAUACACUGGAUCAAACGGCCCUCAUGGGCAUGGAAAGGAAGAAACUAGCAAGAAGCAUUGUGAAGGUGUGUGGUGUGAGGAAAAGAGUCCUUCUGAGGUUUGGAUUCCUGGUGACCAAGAAUAAUUUAUUACUGAAGAAGUGGAAAAAGUUGCUAUUUUGGGUAUGGAAGAGAAAAUUACUGGUACUCCCAGGAGUCUUGAGUGCUAUCUAGCUUCCAAAGGAGUGUGUAAUCUAGUGGAGAAAGCAGGCAUAGAAUGGAUUAUCACACAAAUGGAUAGAACUAGAAAUUGUGUUAAGUGCGAUGAAGAAAAUGGAGUUUCAUAAGAGCAUGAAGCACUUCAUCAGUCUCCAGGUUGCAAGGCUUCCCCUCUCAUCAUCCAGUAAAUACUUCAGAGCCAUGGACAUUCACACAGCAGAGAAGAGCACUGAAGACCCUGAAGAGUGUUCAAAUCCCAUUCUGCCAUCUUUCUCUUUCUCUUAUCUUUCAUUUUUUACCAAGAAUUAGCAAAAAUGGACCAUUACUUAAACUAAUGGUUCCCAAACCUAUUGGAUUACAAAAAGUUCCACUGAUUUUCUGAGUUUAUAGUUACAUUUUGAUGUAUAGUUUUAUAGUUACAUUGGAUUUAAAAAGUUCCACUCAUGGAACUUUUUAAAAGGACAGGGUUCUGGGCUCCAGCACAAAUCUUCUGAAUCAGAAUUUUUGGGUGGUAGGGCCUAGGAAUCUGUGUUUUUAAAGAGUUUCUUGGUGAUUGUGAUUAUCUGCCAACUUUAGGAAGUAUAAAGAGGCUUGCCAGGCUAUGGGUUACUUUGGUCUCUGUCUUUGGUAAAAGAGCUGUGCCUGGAGCUCGGAUCAUUUUGGCACUAGAGAGACCUGGUGCGUUCCAUAACCUCCCUCACCACCUGUCUGCACUGUCCCCUCCCACACAUAUGCCAUGCUCUCAUAAACGCUGAGGAGUGAAAACCUAUGGACCAAAGACUAUUCCAUGCAGAGGCCUCAGUAAUUGCAUGUCCAUCAGCAUGGUAGUCCUAGGACAUGACAUCCCCAGGGGAAAAAAGUCCCCCAGCAGUGCUGCCAAUGCUGCACACAUAGCUCAGAAUUGAUUUUCACCAACCCUAGCUGCUCUGUAUAGCAUUUGUCCAAGUGUAGGUAGCCAGUCACUAGUUGAUUUUAUCCAGAACCCCCUUUGCCUUGAGUACUUGUAAGCAGUACCUGCUGUAGGAACUCAUUUAAAAAGAGAAGCCUGCAUGCACAUAAUUCAAAUUCUACAGUUCCCAAUGAUAACACUAUUAUGUGUGAUUGCAAUUCUCUAAAUUCUUUCAGCUCAUUUCCUGCCACCAGAGUGACGAAUGCUUUGAUACAUUCCUGAAUUUCUGUGAUGCGCUGCCAUGAAGUCCUGUAACUCGUCUCACUGAUGGUGUUGAUCUCAGGGUUAGCUUUAAGUGCUGGGCUGUUUCCAGAAAGAGCAGCCUCUAACACACCUCCUGCCUUGUGCUUGCCCAGAGACAUAGCACAGGGGCCUCAGUUCCUUCCCUAUCAUGCUGUCAUAUUUGGCAAACAUAAGGAUUUAGAAUAAUUUUAGAAAAUUAUAAAUCCUCGUUUAGAAAGUAAGUUUAAAUAUGUAUGCAUAUAUACCUACAUGAAUAUUUUGUAAAUGCAUGUGUUUGGACACGUGUGUGUAUGGGUGUGUAUAUGUGUGCUAUACAGUGCAUGCGUAUACUAAUAUACUAUAAGACUAAAUUUUCUACUGUUUCUUGUCUCUCAGAGAGCAAUAUUAUAGCUAUCUCUAUAUCUAAUAAUCAUAACAGGGCACAGUUGUCAACUGUGGCAAUAUGAUUAACCCUUGAAGGGAGUUGAAAUGUUUCUAUGUCACUGGAAGUCAUUAUUCAAAGUUGGGACGUGAUGCCUAGAAACCCAGGAUUGAUGGAGGAUGUGACACAGGAGAAUGGAAGGGAGGACAUCAGCUUUCUCUACUUAUCCUGCCAUUAUUCCAUCUUUUAGGUAAUUUGACAAAUCCAUCCCAUCCUCCUGGUUACAACAGCUGGAGACUGGAUUGCAGUUUACAGAAAAGAGUCGGGAUAAGCUCUAGACUUUCUUUCUCUCCUUCCCAAAACAACUCUCCUUCCUGCUAGUGCCCUCCAAGUUGUCUUCUUUUAUUCUUUAUUUCCCUAACUCCAGGGCAAAACAUUUCUGGUUUUUAUUGGGAUAAAAUAUAAAUAACAUAAUGUUUAUCAUUGUAACCAUUCGUAAGUAUACAAAUUCAGUGGCAUUAAAUUUCUGUACU